UGCUCAUGCUCUGUCUUUCUCAGUCUCUCAGAAAUAAAUAAAAAAAGUAAAUACAUAAUAUAUGUAUAUGUAUAUGUACAUAUAUAUAGCCAGGCUUACCAAUCCUGGACCUCAGAGGGAAGGUCCAGGAUUAAUGCUUGCUUUCUAAAAAAAUGAUUAUUUUUUUAUUAGCAAUAAAUAAUUUUGAUGUUUUAGAUCUAAAUAAUUAAGGUUCCCAAACCUUGUUUUCUACCAAACUAGAUAGCAGAUAUCCUUGAUUUUUUUCUUUUUUCUAGAAUUUCAUAAUCUGUACAUCUUCUGGGAGGCAGCAUGUGGAAUGCAAAGAGCUCAAACAUGAGAAUAUGAGAGUUCUGAAGUCAAACUGGCUAAGGCAUUCAGAAUUCACAUGUCAGUGCCAGUCAAGUCAAAGAUAAAUGCUUUCUACACUGAUUGCCUGAGCACUGGCAAUGAGUUCUUCUUGCACCCUGUGUGUGGCCUUUGAAAAUCUUUUAGUUUCCUCCAA